rnacentral:rRNA from 1 species
CCCGCUCAGAACUACAAAGGAAUUGGACGGGGGCCCGCACAAGCGGUGGAGCAUGUGGUUUAAUUCGAUGCAACGCGAAGAACCUUACCUGGUCUUGACAUCCCGGAGACCCUUAGGAAACUAGGGGGUGCUUCCAUCUGGAAGAAUCUGGAGACAGGUGGUGCAUGGUUGUCGUCAGCUCGUGUCGUGAGAUGUUGGGUUAAGUCCCGCAACGAGCGCAACCCUUGUGUUUAGUUGCAAACAGGUCAAGCUGUGCACUCUAGACAGACUGCCGUGGACAACACGGAGGAAGGUGGGGAUGACGUCAAAUCAUCAUGCCCCUUAUGAUCUGGGCUACACACGUGCUACAAUGGCCGGUACAACGGGCAGCGAAGGAGCGAUCCGGAGCGAAUCCUAAAAAGCCGGUCCCAGUUCGGAUUGCAGGCUGAAACUCGCCUACAUGAAGUUGGAGUUGCUAGUAAUCGCGAAUCAGAAUGUCGCGGUGAAUGCGUUCCCGGGUCUU